rnacentral:rRNA from 1 species
GAUGAACGCUGGCGGCGUGCCUAAUACAUGCAAGUCGAGCGAACAGACGAGGAGCUUGCUCCUCUGACGUUAGCGGCGGACGGGUGAGUAACACGUGGAUAACCUACCUAUAAGACUGGGAUAACUUCGGGAAACCGGAGCUAGUACCGGAUAAUAUAUUGAACCGCAUGGUUCAAUAGUGAAAGACGGUUUUGCUGUCACUUAUAGAUGGAUCCGCGCCGCAUUAGCUAGUUGGUAAGGUAACGGCUUACCAAGGCAACGAUGCGUAGCCGACCUGAGAGGGUGAUCGGCCAAACGGGAACUGAGCCACGGUCCAGACUCCUACGGGAGGCAGCAGUAGGGAAUCUUCCGCAAUGGGCGAAAGCCUGACGGAGCAACGCCGCGUGAGUGAUGAAGGUCUUCGGAUCGUAAAACUCUGUUAUUAGGGAAGAACAAAUGUGUAAGUAACUAUGCACGUCUUGACGGUACCUAAUCAGAAAGCCACGGCUAACUACGU